GACGAACGCUGGCGGCGUGCUUAACACAUGCAAGUCGAGCGGUAAGGCCCUUUCGGGGGUACACGAGCGGCGAACGGGUGAGUAACACAUGGGUGACCUGCCCUUAGCUCUGGGAUAAGCCUGGGAAACUGGGUCUAAUACCGGAUAUGACUCCAUGACGCAUGUUGUGGGGUGGAAAGCCUUGUGCGGCUAGGGAUGGGCCCGCGGCCUAUCAGCUUGUUGGUGGGGUGAUGGCCUACCAAGGCGACGACGGGUAGCCGGCCUGAGAGGGCGACCGGCCACACUGGGACUGAGACACGGCCCAGACUCCUACGGGAGGCAGCAGUGGGGAAUCUCGCGCAAUGGGCGAAAGCCUGACGCAGCGACGCCGCGUGAGGGAUGACGGCCUGGU
rnacentral:rRNA from 1 species